GUGUCAGCAGCCGCGGUAAGACGAACCGUGCAAACGUUGUUCGGAAUCACUGGGCUUAAAGGGCGCGUAGGCGGAUUCACAAGUCUGUGGUGAAAUCCUCCAGCUUAACUGGAGAAGUGCCGUGGAUACUGUGAGUCUCGAGGAGGAUAGGGGCAUCUGGAACUGCCGGUGGAGCGGUGAAAUGCGUUGAUAUCGGCAGGAACUCCGGUGGCGAAGGCGAGAUGCUGGAUCCUUUCUGACGCUGAGGCGCGAAAGCCAGGGGAGCAAACGGGAUUAGAAACCCCUGUAGUCC
rnacentral:rRNA from 1 species